GUGCUUGCUUUGGCAGCACAUAUACUAAAAUUGGAACGAUACAGAGAGGAUUAGCAUGGUCCCUGAGCAAGGAUGACACGUAAAUCUGUGAAGCAUUCCAUAUUUGA
rnacentral:snRNA from 1 species